rnacentral:rRNA from 1 species
AACAAACGCUGGCGGCGUGCCUAAUACAUGCAAGUCGAACGGGGAAAGCUUUCGGGUGAGUACUAGUGGCGCACGGGUGAGUAACGCGUGGAUAAUCUGCCUUAGAGUGGGGGAUAACUAGUCGAAAGAUUAGCUAAUACCGCAUAAGACCACAAGAACUGCGGUUCAAGGGGUCAAAGGUUUUUCGCUCUAAGAUGAGUCCGCGUAAGAUUAGCAAGUUGGUAGGGUAACGGCCUACCAAGGCGACGAUCUUUAACUGGUCUGAGAGGAUGAUCAGUCACACUGGAACUGAGACACGGUCCAGACUCCUACGAGAGGCAGCAGUAGGGAAUAUUGCACAAUGGAGGAAACUCUGAUGCAGCGACGCCGCGUGAGUGAUGAAGGCCUUCGGGUCGUAAAGCUCUGUCGCAGGGGAAUAACACAAUGAAGGUACCCUGUAAGAAAGGAUCGGCUAACUUCGUGCCAGCCGCCGCCGUAAAAC